UACGGAGGAUCCAAGCGUUAUCCGGAAUCAUUGGGUUUAAAGGGUCCGUAGGCGGUUUAAUAAGUCAGUGGUGAAAUCUGGUCGCUUAACGAUCAAACGGCCAUUGAUACUGUUAGACUUGAAUUACUAGGAAGUAACUAGAAUAUGUAGUGUAGCGGUGAAAUGCUUAGAUAUUACAUGGAAUACCAAUUGCGAAGGCAGGUUACUACUAGUUGAUUGACGCUGAUGGACGAAAGCGUGGGGAGCGAACAGG
rnacentral:rRNA from 1 species